CCAUGCAUCAACUGCAACAGCUAUGGUCCGGACUCUGCUGCUAGGGGUGUUUCCAGUGGAUGUCCUCCUUCAAAGUAACCUCAAAGGUUGAAAAUCCAGAAGGGAUGAGACUGAUCUGCAGCGGGAAGCAGUUGACUCCAACACCAUCUAUGUUAUUUUUGACGCAGUGUUGAAGAAAUUUCCACAGGCCACCAAGGGACAACUGGGGACAGCUGUCAACUCAAAAAUAGCUGAG